rnacentral:rRNA from 1 species
UACAGAGGUCUCAAGCGUUGUUCGGAAUUACUGGGCGUAAAGGGUGCGCAGGCCGCGCGGGCAGUCAAAUGUGUAAUCCAGGGGCUCAACCCCUGAACUGCGCUUGAUACUUCCGCGCUCGAGCUUUGGAGAGGAGUCUGGAAUUCUCGGUGUAGCAGUGAAAUGCGUGGAUAUCGAGAAGAACACUUAGGGCGUAGGCAAGACUCUGGACAAAUGCUGACGCUCGUGCACGAAGGCUAGGGUAGCGAACGGG